rnacentral:lncRNA from 1 species
GAUGGUUGAAUGGCAUCACCGACUCAAUGGACACGAGUUUGAGCAAGCUCUGAGAGUUGGUGAUGAACAGGGAACCCUGGUGUGCUGCAGUCCCUGGGGUCACAAAGAGUGGGACACGACUGAGCGACUGAACUGAGCUGAGCUCAUACUGUCCUUCAAUUUAAGAUAUUUAAAUAUCCUUUUCCAUAUUUAAAUAUCUGUGUAGUUGCUAAGCUGUGUCUGCUUCUUCGUGACCCCUUGGACUGUAGCUUGCCAGGCUCCCCCAUCCAUGCGAUUCUCCAGGCAAGAAUAGUGGAGUGGGUUGCCACUCCCUCCUCCAGGGGACCAUCCUGACCCAAGGACUGAACCUACAUCUCCUGCACUGGCAGGCAGGCUCUUCAUCAGUGAGCCACCAGUGAAGCCCCUAAAUCUGUUUGUUUCUAUUUUGCAUGUGCACUCAUUCACAUUGCUUUUAAAUUGUAUAUAAGUGAUGUCAUACAGUAUUUAAUAUAAUAUCUUCUAAUAACGGAUUAUCUUAAAAAAUCCUAAAGAGAAAGAAAUGGAUGGUGACCUUAAGGAGAGACAUAGCCUAGGGAACAUUUUUGUUAAGGGAAAACUGAUCCUGUUUGCAGAUCUAACGAGAAGGAAUCAACUAUCAUGGAGAAUUUGAAGAUACCCGCCACCCGACCGCCCCCGACUCCCGCCACCCACACACACACAAAGAUUCUGAUGGAGCAAGAGGAUCAGGAGAAAGGUGAGGUCAAGAGCACAGGUAGGAGAGACCUAGAGAUAAGAGAAGCAAGGCUGACUCUUCACAGUUCAGUUCAGUGCAGUCGCUCAGUCAUGCCCGACUCUUUGCGACCCCAUGGACUGCAGCACGCCAGGCUCUUUUCAUAGCAAGUCACCAGAUCUUGAACUUGAUGGACAAACAUGGCAGGUUCCCUUUCCAUCUUCCCUUCUCCUUCCCUCCUGAUAUAACUCUGGCUGGUUUCUGGACAUGAUCAGAGUUUAGGUGGAUUUAAAGUAGGCAACUCUUGCCUGGAAAAUCCCUUGGACAGAGGAGCCUGGUAGGCUGCAGUC